rnacentral:rRNA from 1 species
GCACAAGCGGUGGAGUAUGUGGUUUAAUUCGAUGCAACGCGAAAACCUUACCUGCCCUUGACAUCCUCGGAACUUUCCAGAGAUGGAUUGGUGCUCGAAAGAGAGCCGUAACACAGGUGCUGCAUGGCUGUCGUCAGCUCGUGUCGUGAGAUGUUGGGUUAAGUCCCGCAACGAGCGCAACCCUUGCCAUUAAUUGCCAUCAUUCAGUUGGGCACUUUAAUGGGACUGCCGGUGACAAACCGGAGGAAGGUGGGGAUGACGUCAAGUCCUCAUGGCCCUUAUGGCCAGGGCUUCACACGUAAUACAAUGGUCGGUACAGAGGGUUGCCAACCCGCGAGGGGGAGCCAAUCCCAGAAAGCCGAUCGUAGUCCGGAUUGCAGUCUGCAACUCGACUGCAUGAAGUCGGAAUCGCUAGUAAUCGCGGAUCAGCAUGUCGCGGUGAAUACGUUCCCGGGCCUU